rnacentral:tRNA from 1 species
GGUGCUGUGGCUUAGCGGGUUAAAGUCCUGGCCUGCAGUGCCGGCAUCCCAUUUGGGCACCGGUUCGAGUCCUGACUGCUCCA